AGGCAAGAUUAAGGAAGCAUUGGAGUAUGUUGGUCAGGGUGCUUUUGCUGAUUAUAAUGUCUUUGGUGCUCUAUUGGAUUCAUGUGGGAGUUUGAAGUCGCUUGAUAUGGGUAAACGGGCACAUGAGUUAUUGAAACAGUCACCGUUUGCUGGUGAUAUCGAAAUGAACAACAAAUUGAUUGGAAUGUAUGGGAAAUGUGGUAGUAUGAGAGAUGCACACCGGGUG
rnacentral:misc_RNA from 1 species